rnacentral:rRNA from 1 species
AUGGCCACCUGCCUCUCAGACAUGAUCAGUGACCAUUCCCUAGAUUUCCUGGGUCUGCAAGAAACUAUGAAAAAAGGUUUCUCUCCUAAAUGUUUGAGAAGAAUUGACCCCUUUGACAUAUUCCAGUGGAGCUGGGUGUCUUCUAUGGGCAAAUCUAGGGGCAUACUGUGUGGUGUGAGGAGAGAUACCCUAGAAGUAGUCUCUUGUUCUAAAGGAAAAUAUGUGUUGGAAAUGGUGCUUUAUGACAAAAAUAAAGAAAUGUAGUGGGGGUUACUAGUAGUAUAUGGAUCGGCACAAGAUGAAUUCAAAGAUGAAUUCUUAAUUGAGCUGGCUGCUUUCUGUAGUGGCAUGAGUAUACCCUACAUAGUGGGGGGGGAUUUUAACAUCCUGAGACAUCCUGGAGACAAGAAUAAGAAGAUUGUGAACAACAAAGCUACUGACCUGUUCAACUCCAUUAUCAAUACCCUAACUCUUAGGGAAAUACACAUCAGUGGGGGCAAAUACACUUGGACCAACAAUCAGGCCCAUCCCACACUAGAGAAAUUAGACCGCAUCCUUAUGUCUGAAUGCUGGGAAGAUGUUUUCCCACUUGUCUUUGUGAGGAAAUUAGUCUGGGAGAUUUCUGAUCAUAAUUAA